rnacentral:rRNA from 1 species
GACGAACGCUGGCGGCGUGCUUAACACAUGCAAGUCGAACGGAAAGGCCCUGCUUUUGUGGGGUGCUCGAGUGGCGAACGUGUGAGUAACACGUGCGUAACAUUCCCUUGACUUUGGGAUAACUUCAGGAAACUGGGGCUAAUACCGGAUAGGAGCUCCUGCUGCAUGGUGGGGGUUGGAAAGUUUCGGCGGUUGGGGAUGGACUCGCGGCUUAUCAGCUUGUUGGUGGGGUAGUGGCUUACCAAGGCUUUGACGGGUAGCCGGCCUGAGAGGGUGACCGGCCACAUUGCGACUGAGAUACGGCCCAGACUACUACGGGAGGCAGCAGUGGGGAAUAUUGCACAAUGGGCGGAAGCCUGAUGCAGCAACGCCGCGUGCGGGAUGACGGCCUUCGGGUUGUAAACCGCUUUCGCCUGUGACGAAGCGUGAGUGACGGUAAUGGGUAAAGAAGCACCGGCUAACUACGUG